rnacentral:lncRNA from 1 species
AAGGAUUCAGGGUGCCCCUCCGGCCUCGCCAUGAGGCUCUUCCUGUCGCUCCCGGUCCUGGUGGUGGUUCUGUCGAUCGUCUUGGAAGGGAUUGGUUUUCAGAGACAUUUCGGAAAGUGAAGGAGAAACUCAAGACUGACUCAUGAGGACCUGAAGGGUGACAUCCCAGGAGGGGCCUCUGAAAUUUCCAACACCCCAGCGCCUGUACUGAGGACGCCCUCCAUGUGUGUCCAAUGUGGUCACACGCCCAGGUGUGACCAAUAAAAAUCCUAUGGAAAA